rnacentral:sRNA from 1 species
AACCGAUACCACGAUCGCAAUUUCAAUCUCCGCUGGUCCUAAUUCGCGUCUGAGAAAACGUGUCUCACUAAACUGCGAAUAACUCA